rnacentral:ncRNA from 1 species
CACGAGUCUUUCCUUCGCCGGAAGGCGUGGGUAAUCUUGUGAAACAUCGUCGUGCUGGGGAUAGAUCAUUGCAAUUAUUGAUCUUGAACGAGGAAUUCCUAGUAAGCGCGAGUCAUCAGCUCGCGUUGAUUACGUCCCUGCCCUUUGUACACACCGCCCGUCGCUACUACCGAUUGAAUGGUUUAGUGAGGCCUUCUGAUUGGCGCCGCGGCCCCGGCAACGGAGCCGCGGAUUGUCGAAAAGUUGGUCAAACUUGAUCAUUUAGAGGAAGUAAAAGUCGUAACAAGGUUUCCGUAGGUGAACCUGCGGAAGGAUCAUUA